GAUGAACGCUGGCGGCGUGCCUAAUACAUGCAAGUCGAGCGAACAGACGAGGAGCUUGCUGUUCUGACGUUAGCGACGGACGGGUGAGUCACAAGUAAAUAACCUACCUAUAAGACUGAGAUCACUUCGGGAAAGCGGAGCUCAUAACAGAUACUAUAUUGAACCGCAUGGUUCAAUAGAGAAAGACGGGUUUGCUGUCGCCUCUCGAUGGAUCCGCGCCGCAUUAGCUAGUUGGUACGGUAACGGCUUACCAAGGCAACGAUGCGUAGCCGACAUGAGAGGGGGAUCGGCCACACUGGAACUGAGACACGGUCCAGAGUCCUACGGGAGGCAGCAGUAGGGAAUCGUCCGCAAUGGGCGAAAGCCUGACGGAGCAACGCCGCGUGAGUGAUGAAGGUCUUCGGAUCGUAAAACUCUGUUAUUAGGUAAGAACAAAUGUGUAAGUAACUAUGCACGUCUUGACGGUACCUAAUCAGAAAGCCACGGCUAACUACGUG
rnacentral:rRNA from 1 species